rnacentral:misc_RNA from 1 species
CCGAGUUCGUGCCCUUCGGGGUAGACCUCCCACCCUGUGUUAUCACUACCUUUGUUGCUUUGGCGGGCCGUCAGGCCUCGGCCUGGCUACCGGCUUCCGCUGGUACGCGCCCGCCAGAGGACCCAAACCCUAAAUAUUAGUGUCGUCUGAGUACUAUAUAAUAGUUA